rnacentral:rRNA from 1 species
GACGAACGCUGGCGGCGUGCUUAACACAUGCAAGUCGAACGGAAAGGCCCUGCUUUCGUGGGGUGCUCGAGUGGCGAACGGGUGAGUAACACGUGAGUAACCUGCCCUUGACUUUGGGAUAACUUCAGGAAACCGGGGCUACUACCGGAUAGGAGCUCCUGCUGCAUGGUGGGGUUUGGAAAGUUUCGGCGGUUGGGGAUGGACUCGCGGCUUAUCAGCUUGUUGGUGGGGUAGUGGCUUACCAAGGCUUUGACGGGUAGCCGGCCUGCGAGGGUGACCGGCCACAUUGGGACUGCGCUACGGCCCAGAAUCCUACGGGAGGCAGCAGUGGGGAAUAUUGCACAAUGGGCGGAAGCCUGAUGCAGCAACGCCGCGUGCGGGAUGACGGCCUUCGGGUUGUAAACCGCUUUCGCCUGUGACGAAGCGUUAGUGACGGUAAUGGGUAAAGAAGCACCGGCUAACUACGUG